rnacentral:rRNA from 1 species
UACGUAGGGUGCGAGCGUUAAUCGGAAUUACUGGGCGUAAAGCGUGCGCAGGCGGUUUGGUAAGACAGAUGUGGAAUUCCCGGGCUUAGCCUGGGAACUGCAUUUGUGACUGCAAGGCUAGAGUGCGGCAGAGGGGAGUGGAAUUCCGCGUGUAGCAGUGAAAUGCGUAGAUAGGCGGAGGAACACCGAUGGCGAAGGCAACUCCCUGGGCCUGCACUGACGCUCAUGCACGAAAGCGUGGGGAGCAAACAGG